GAAAGAUGGUUCUGCUAUCACUCUUGGAUGGACCUGCGGUGCAUUAGCUAGUUGGUAAGGUAACGGCUUACCAAGGCAAUGAUGCAUAGCCGAGUUGAGAGACUGAUCGGCCGCAUUGGGACUGAGACACGGCCCAAACUCCUACGGGAGGCAGCAGUAGGGAAUCUUCCACAAUGGACGAAAGUCUGAUGGAGCAACGCCGCGUGAGUGAAGAAGGGUUUCGGCUCGUAAAGCUCUGUUGGUAGUGAAGAAAGAUAGAGGUAGUAACUGGCCUUUAUUUGACGGUAAUUACUUAGAAAGUCACGGCUAACUACGUGCCAGCAGCCGCGGUAAUACGUAGGUGGCAAGCGUUGUCCGGAUUUAUUGGGCGUAAAGCGAGUGCAGGCGGUUCAAUAAGUCUGAUGUGAAAGCCUUCGGCUCAACCGGAGAAUUGCAUCAGAAACUGUUGAACUUGAAUGCAGAAGAGGAGAGUGGAACUCCAUGUGUAGCGGUGGAAUGCGUAGAUAUAUGGAAGAACACCAGUGGCGAAGGCGGCUCUCUGGUCUGCAACUGACGCUGAGGCUCGAAAGCAUGGGUAGCGAACAGGAUUAGAUACCCUGGUAGUCCAUGCCGUAAACGAUGAGUGCUAAGUGUUGGGAGGUUUCCGCCUCUCAGUGCUGC
rnacentral:rRNA from 1 species